GAUGAACGCUGGCGGCGUGCCUAAUACAUGCAAGUCGAGCGAGAUAUCGUUUAUGACUGAAGGUGCUUGCACCUGAGGGACUAAACAUUUUAUCGAGCGGCGGACGGGUGAGUAACACGUAGGUAACCUACCCUAAAGCGGGGGAUAACAUCUGGAAACAGGUGCUAAUACCGCAUAACAACAUUUAUCGCAUGAUGAAUGUUUAAAAGAUGGUUUCGGCUAUCACUUUAGGAUGGACCUGCGGCGCAUUAGUUAGUUGGUGAGGUAACGGCUCACCAAGACGAUGAUGCGUAGCCGAACUGAGAGGUUGAUCGGCCACACUGGGACUGAGACACGGCCCAGACUCCUACGGGAGGCAGCAGUAGGGAAUCUUCCACAAUGGACGAAAGUCUGAUGGAGCAACGCCGCGUGAGUGAAGAAGGUUUUCGGAUCGUAAAACUCUGUUGUUGGAGAAGAACGUAUCUAAUAGUAACUGAUUAGGUAGUGACGGUAUCCAACCAGAAAGCCACGGCUAACUACGUGCCAGCAGCCGCAGUAA
rnacentral:rRNA from 1 species